UACGAAGGGGGCUAGCGUUGCUCGGAAUUACUGGGCGUAAAGGGCGCGUAGGCGGCACUGUUAGUCAGGCGUGAAAUUCCUGGGCUCAACCUGGGGACUGCGCUUGAUACGGCAGAGCUAGAGGAUGGAAGAGGCUCGCGGAAUUCCCAGUGUAGAGGUGAAAUUCGUAGAUAGUUGGGAAGAACACCGGUGGCGAAGGCGGCGAGCUGGUCCAUUACUGACGCUGAGGAGCGAAAGCGUGGGGAGCGAACAGG
rnacentral:rRNA from 1 species